UACGUAGGGGGCUAGCGUUAUCCGGAAUUACUGGGCGUAAAGGGUGCGUAGGUGGUUUAUUAAGCCUGGUGUAAAAGGCAGUGGCUCAACCAUUGUAUGCAUUGGAAACUGGUAGACUUGAGUGCAGGAGAGGAGAGUGGAAUUCCAUGUGUAGCGGUGAAAUGCGUAGAUAUAUGGAGGAACACCGGUGGCGAAAGCGGCUCUCUGGCCUGUAACUGACACUGAGGCUCGAAAGCGUGGGGAGCAAACAGG
rnacentral:rRNA from 1 species